GCGAACGCUGGCGGUAUGCUUUACACAUGCAAGUCGGGCGGCAGCGCGGGGGCAACCCUGGCGGCGAGCGGCGAACGGGUGAGUAACAUAUCGGAACGUACCCAGACGUGGGGGACAACUAGUCGAAAGACUAGCUAAUACCGCAUACGUCCUGAGGGAGAAAGCGGGGGAUCGCAAGACCUCGCGCGUUUGGAGCGGCCGAUAUCUGAUUAGCUAGAUGGUGGGGUAAAGGCCCACCAUGGCGACGAUCAGUAGCUGGUCUGAGAGGAGGAUCAGCCACACUGGAACUGAGACACGGUCCAGACUCCUACGGGAGGCAGCAGUGGGGAAUUUUGGACAAUGGGGGAAACCCUGAUCCAGCCAUUCCGCGUGAGUGAAGAAGGCCUUCGGGUUGUAAAGCUCUUUCGGCAGGAACGAAACGGCGGAAUCUAAUACAUUCCACUAAUGACGGUACCUGAAGAAGAAGCACCGGCUAACUACGU
rnacentral:rRNA from 1 species